GUGGGGUAAUGGCCUACCAAGGCGACGACGGGUAGCCGGCCUGAGAGGGCGACCGGCCACACUGGGACUGAGACACGGCCCAGACUCCUACGGGAGGCAGCAGUGGGGAAUAUUGCACAAUGGGCGAAAGCCUGAUGCAGCGACGCCGCGUGAGGGAUGACGGCCUUCGGGUUGUAAACCUCUUUCAGUAGGGACGAAGCGCAAGUGACGGUACCUACAGAAGAAGCACCGGCCAACUACGUGCCAGCAGCCGCGGUAAUACGUAGGGUGCGAGCGUUGUCCGGAUUUACUGGGCGUAAAGAGCUCGCAGGCGGUUUGUCACGUCGUCUGUGAAAACCCGAGGCUUAACCUCGGGCCUGCAGGCGAUACGGGCAGACUUGAGUACUGUAGGGGAGACUGGAAUUCCUGGUGUAGCGGUGGAAUGCGCAGAUAUCAGGAGGAACACCGGUGGCGAAGGCGGGUCUCUGGGCAGUAACUGACGCUGAGGAGCGAAAGCGUGGGUAGCGAACAGGAUUAGAUACCCUGGUAGUCCACGCCGUAAACGGUGGGUACUAGGUGUGGGUUUCCUUCCACGGGAUCCGUGCCGUAGCUAACGCAUUAAGUA
rnacentral:rRNA from 1 species